GAUGAACGCUAGCGGGAGGCCUAACACAUGCAAGCCGAGCGGUAUUGUUUCUUCGGAAAUGAGAGAGCGGCGUACGGGUGCGGAACACGUGUGCAACCUGCCUUUAUCUGGGGGAUAGCCUUUCGAAAGGAAGAUUAAUACUCCAUAAUAUAUUGAACGGCAUCGUUUAAUAUUGAAAGCUCCGGCGGAUAGAGAUGGGCACGCGCAAGAUUAGCUAGUUGGUGAGGUAACGGCUCACCAAGGCGAUGAUCUUUAGGGGGCCUGAGAGGGUGAUCCCCCACACUGGUACUGAGACACGGACCAGACUCCUACGGGAGGCAGCAGUGAGGAAUAUUGGUUAAUGGGUGCAAGCCUGAACCAGCCAUCCCGCGUGAAGGACGACUGCCCUAUGGGUUGUAAACUUCUUUUGUAUAGGGAUAAACCUACCCUCGUGAGGGUAGCUGAAGGUACUAUACGAAUAAGCACCGGCUAACUCCGUGCCAGCAGCCGCGGUAAUACGGAGGGUGCAAGCGUUAUCCGGAUUUAUUGGGUUUAAAGGGUCCGUAGGCGGACUUAUAAGUCAGUGGUGAAAGCCUGUCGCUUAACGAUAGAACUGCCAUUGAUACUGUAAGUCUUGAGUAUAUUUGAGGUAGCUGGAAUAAGUGGUGUAGCGGUGAAAUGCAUAGAUAUUACUUAGAACACCAAUUGCGAAGGCAGGUUACCA
rnacentral:rRNA from 1 species